rnacentral:rRNA from 1 species
CCUACGGGAGGCAGCAGUGGGGAAUAUUGGACAAUGGACGAAAGUCUGAUCCAGCAAUGCCGCGUGAGUGAUGAAGGCCUUAGGGUUGUAAAGCUCUUUUACCAGGGAUGAUAAUGACAGUACCUGGAGAAUAAGCUCCGGCUAACUCCGUGCCAGCAGCCGCGGUAAUACGGAGGGAGCUAGCGUUGUUCGGAAUUACUGGGCGUAAAGCGCACGUAGGCGGUUAUUCAAGUCAGAGGUGAAAGCCCGGGGCUCAACCCCGGAACUGCCUUUGAAACUAGAUAGCUAGAAUCCUGGAGAGGUGAGUGGAAUUCCGAGUGUAGAGGUGAAAUUCGUAGAUAUUCGGAAGAACACCAGUGGCGAAGGCGGCUCACUGGACAGGUAUUGACGCUGAGGUGCGAAAGCGUGGGGAGCGAAACAGGAUUAGAUACCCUGGUAGUCCACGCCGUAAACGAUGAUAACUAGCUGUCCGGGCACAUGGUGCUUGGGUGGCGCAGCUAACGCAUUAAGUUAUCCGCCUGGGGAGUACGGUCGCAGAUUAAACGUCAAAUGAAUUGACGG